GUGCUUGCUUUGGCAGCACAUAUACUAAAACUGGCACGAUACAGAGAAGAUUAGCAUGGCACCUACACAAGGAUGACAUGUAAAUUCAUGAAGUCUUUUUUUUUUUU
ensembl:snRNA U6 U6 spliceosomal RNA